GUCAAUGUGGCAUAGUGAUUUGAGUGUUGGACUUUGACUCUAUAGACCAGGGUUCAGUUCCCUGUUUGGCCA
rnacentral:tRNA from 1 species